GCCCCUGAGGUCUGAGACCUCUGAUCUUGUACCCUUAUUUUGUCGCAAUAUUUUCUUUCUGUUUGUCUUCAUAAUUAUUCAAUCAAUAAAGUCGAAUUUCUUAUUGUGGGUGGCUUCUCCUUCCCCCUCCUCCUUCUUUCUGCUUUUCUCCUUGCAAUGAGUCGUUCCCUGAUGUUUUUACCUUCCGAUGGCAGUGCCCUGCAGAAGCACUCCCCUUGCCCCUGGGGGUCCCACUGAAAUCGACAAUCCAGCGGUUGAAAAAGGAGGUCCUUCACCUGACGAAGAAGUUGAAGAAGAUGGAAGGCAAACUCCGCAAAUCGAG
rnacentral:lncRNA from 1 species